rnacentral:tRNA from 1 species
GCGGGAGUGCUGGAAUGGCAGACAGGCAUGUUUGAGGGGCAUGUGCAAGUAAUUGCGUGAGGGUUCAAGUCCCUUCUCCCGCACCA